rnacentral:rRNA from 1 species
AACGUAGGAGACAAACGUUAUCCGGAGUUACUGGGCGUAAAGGGCGUGUAGGCGGUCUGUUAAGUCUGGCGUGAAAGCUCUCGGCUAAACCGGGAGAGGUCGUUGGAUACUGGCAGACUAGAGGACGGUAGAGGCGUGUGGAAUUCCGGGUGUAGUGGUGAAAUGCGUAGAUAUCUGGAGGAACACCGGUGGCGAAGGCGGCAUCCUGGACCAAUAUUGACGCUGAGGAGCGAAAGCCAGGGGAGCAAACGGG